CCUACGGGUGGCAGCAGUGAGGAAUAUUGGUCAAUGGGCGAGAGCCUGAACCAGCCAAGUCGCGUGAAGGAUGAAGGAUCUAUGGUUUGUAAACUUCUUUUAUAUGGGAAUAAAGUGAGGAACGUGUUCCUUUUUGUAUGUACCAUAUGAAUAAGCAUCGGCUAACUCCGUGCCAGCAGCCGCGGUAAUACGGAGGAUCCGAGCGUUAUCCGGAUUUAUUGGGUUUAAAGGGUGCGUAGGCGGUCAGGUAAGUUAGAGGUGAAAGCUCGAUGCUCAACAUCGAAACUGCCUCUGAUACUGUCUGACUAGAGUGUAGUUGCGGAAGGCGGAAUGUGUGGUGUAGCGGUGAAAUGCUUAGAUAUCACACAGAACACCGAUUGCGAAGGCAGCUUUCCAAGCUAUUACUGACGCUGAGGCACGAAAGCGUGGGGAGCGAACAGGAUUAGAUACCCCUGUAGUC
rnacentral:rRNA from 1 species